AUCUUCAGUACUGAAUUAAAUGCAGGAUGACUGAUAACCACAGGAAAAAGCAAGUCAUCCUGGUACACUCGUGUCGCGUGUGUCUCUCAACAGUAACGCAUCCCAACUAUGGACCGGUCCGCCUGAACAGCAUCAGCUACCGGACCUACAACGCCUCUCAUCCCCGCAUCUCCUUCACCCUCCCCCCCCCCGGCCUCCGCCAGCUCACCUCCAGCAGCGGCAGGUCCGGGUCCAGGUGUGUGAGGCUGUGCAGGACCACCGGGCUGGGGUCCUCCACCACCUCCAGCCUCACCCCGUCCCAAAUGUUCCGCACUCUCCAUGACGAGUCAAACAUCUCAACCAGCUGUCCCGGCUUGAUGCUGUGCACCUCGGUUUGCAUGCCCGGGAAAUAGACCAUGGAUGCACGCGAAGCCGACUGUUCAUUCACGACCCACAUAUACUGGGAGAUAAACCCCUUGCGAGAGUUUCCCAGUAGCAGACAAGAGGAAGCUUUUCAUUCAGCCUCAGUGAAGGAGGUCUGAGCUGUCUCUAACAGAGCUGGAUUUAUCCCCUGACAUUAUUUCAGCCAUUCAGGUACUUCUCCCAGGUCCUGGCAUUUAAAAAAUGCUUUCUCACGUCAACUGCAGCCAACUGGGAGAUCACUAAGAGGCAACCUGACAACCGUCGCCUGGGCAGCUGUGUUCUCACCUUUCCACGUCACCUCCACAUCCACCAGUACAACCUCCCUGUUGGAGCCCCUUGGACUCGUUUGACUGUUUUGACUGCCCGCCUUGUUUGAACCAACGACUCAAAUCAGCAUCGGAUCAUUUGUGAAGCGUUUAGAGACAAAGCAAAGAGUGAACCACAGUACAACAACUGCCUGAGGAAGAAAACAAUCUGCGCACUGUUUUUCAAUAAUAAACACUUGAGUGUAAUUAUGCAACAAAUACAAA